rnacentral:sRNA from 1 species
UGUCGGGAACUCUAGGGAGACUGCCCCGGAAAUCGGGGAGGAAGGUGGGGAUGACGUCAAGUCCUCAUGGCCUUUAUGUCCAGGGCUACACACGUGCUACAAUGGGCGGCACAGCGGGUUGCGAAAGCGCGAGCUCGAGCCAAUCCCGAAAAACCGUCCUCAGUUCGGAUUGCAGUCUGCAACUCGACUGCAUGAAGGUGGAAUCGCUAGUAAUCCCAGAUCAGCACGCUGGGGUGAAUACGUUCCCGGGCCUUGUACACACCGCCCGUCACAUCACGAAAGUCGGCUGUACCGGAAGUCGGUGGGCCAACCCGCAAGGGAGGCAACUGCCCAUGGUGUGGUCGGCGAUUGGGGUGAAGUCGUAACAAGGUAGCUGUAGGAGAACCUGUGGCUGGAUCACCUCCUUUCUAG